CCUACGGGAGGCAGCAGUGGGGAAUAUUGGGCAAUGGGCGCAAGCCUGACCCAGCAACGCCGCGUGAAGGAAGAAGGCUUUCGGGUUGUAAACUUCUUUUCUCAGGGACGAAGCAAGUGACGGUACCGGAGGAAUAAGCCACGGCUAACUACGGGCCAGCAGCCGCGGUAAUACGUAGGUGGCAAGCGUUAUCCGGAUUUACUGGGUGUAAAGGGCGUGUAGGCGGGGACGCAAGUCCGAUGUGAAAAACACGGGCUCAACCUGUGGCCUGCAUUUGAAACUGUGUUUCUUGAGUACUGGAGUGGCCGACGGAAUUCCUAGUGUAGCGGUGAAAUGCGUAGAUAUUAGGAGGAACACCAGUGGCGAAGGCGGUCUGCUGGACAGCAACUGACGCUGAGGCGCGAAAGCGUGGGGAGCAAACAGGAUUAGAUACCCGGGUAGUC
rnacentral:rRNA from 1 species